rnacentral:rRNA from 1 species
GUCUACAGCCAUGCCACCCUGAAAGCGCCGGAUCUCGUCUGAUCUCGGAAACUAAGCAAGGUCAGGUCUGAUUAGUACUUGGAUGGGAAAGACAAAUCCACUUACAUAAGGUACCAGAACAGCCC